AACCUGGUUGAUCCUGCCAGUAGUCAUAUGCUUGUCUCAAAGAUUAAGCCAUGCAUGUCUUAGUGUAAAUAACUCUUAUGAAACUGCGAAUGGUUCAUUAAAUCAGUUAUCGUUUAUUUGAUGGUCCCUUACUACAUGGAUAACCGUAGUAAUUCUAGAGCUAAUACAUGCACAAAGGCCCGACUCACGGAGGGCUGUAUUUAUUAGAUUCAAAGCCGACCUUGUUCUGGUGAUUCAUACUAACUGCU
rnacentral:rRNA from 1 species